GAUGAACGCUGGCGGCGUGCCUAAUACAUGCAAGUCGAGCGAACGGACGCUAAGCUUGCUUUUCUGAUGUUAGCGGCGGACGGGUGAGUAACACGUGGAUAGCCUACCUAUACGACUUGGAUCACUUCGGGAAACCGGAGCUAAUACCGGAUACUAUUUUUAACCGCAUGGUUCAAAAGUGAAUUCCGUUCUGGCUGUCCCUUAUAGAUGGAUUCGCGGUGCUUUAGUGAGUUGGUAAGGUAACGGCUUACCAAGGCAACGAUGCAUAGCCGACCUGAGAGGGUGAACGGCCACACUGGAACUGAAACACGGUCCAGAGUCCUACGGGAGGCCGCAGUAGCGAAGCUUGCGCAAUGGGCGGAAGCCUGACGGAGCAACGCCGCGUGAGUGAUGAAGGGCUGCGGGUCGUAAAACUCUGUUAGUAGGGAAGAACAUAUGUGUAAGUAACGGAGCACAUCUUGACGGUACCUAAUCAGAAAGCCACGGCUAACUACGUG
rnacentral:rRNA from 1 species